rnacentral:rRNA from 1 species
CUUGGCAACGAUAGCGCGGUGGUCCCACCUGACCCCAUGCCGAACUCAGAAGUGAAACGCCGUAGCGCCGAUGGUAGUGUGGGGUCUCCCCAUGUGAGAGUAGGGCAUUGCCAGGC